CCUCGGUCGGCCGGGCGGCGCGCGCGGUGGCGGCGUGGCGCUCGCCGGCGGCCGUACGGUCCCGCUCGUACUCCGAGGC
rnacentral:tRNA from 1 species